AUGUGCACGCGCACGCGUAUGCGUGCAUCAUUAAUCGAUACUAUUAGGUUGGUGCAAAAAUAAUGUCGAUUUUUAACCUUCAACUUCAAAUCACAGAAUUUUCGAGUUCCAGAAUCGACAAAUUCUCUGAAAGCGUUUUCAGCAGCAGCUUAGUUAUUGAAGAUUUUUCCCUGUAAAAAGUGGUCGAGAUGUUUGAAGAAGUAGUAGUCGAUUGACGAGGUCCACCGAGAUAAUGACAACACAAUUAGAAAAAAGAAAGAAGAAACAAAUAAUGCGGAGGAAGAUGAAGAUAUGAACGAUGAUAGGUAUGCUUGUCGGGUAACUCCGUCAAGUUUCGUUUGUGCUCGAGCAGUGCUAAGAAUACCUCGGCCAGCCAUAUUUGGCAAUGAGACCGCGUGA